UACGUAGGUGGCUAGCGUUGUCCGGAUUUACUGGGCGUAAAGAGCGCGCAGGCGGUCGUUCAAGUCGAGUGUGAAAGCCCCCGGCUCAACUGGGGAGGGUCACUCGAUACUGAUCGACUCGAAGGCAGAAGAGGGAAGCGGAAUUCCCGGUGGAGUGGUGAAAUGCGUAGAUAUCGGGAGGAACACCAGUGGCGAAGGCGGCUUUCUGGUCUGCUCUUGACGCUGAGGCGCGAAAGCUAGGGUAGCAAACGGG
rnacentral:rRNA from 1 species